GCUCUAAUACCACUUGAAGGAUGUCACACAUUCGAGAUCAUGAAUUCAGAGCAUGCAGAUUUUUAACUUGCAAAAUAUCUGAAUGCAGCAAAAAAAUAAAUUUGGUCUAGAUUAAACUAUUUAAUCUAUCUAACAUGCAUAAUUUAUAUCUAAUCUACAUGCAACAGGAUCGAUCACAUACUUUAAGAUGCUAAAAUUUGAAUCAGAUUUAAAUAAGAAUAAAAAAAUUUGAGAUCAGAUCUCGAUACCUUCAUGCAAAUCGAUGAUCAUCGCUACUGAUGAUCAUGAUAAUCUGA
rnacentral:lncRNA from 1 species